CGCUCCCCUCCCCAGGCCCAUCAGGCUGUGCGGUGAGGAUGUGACCGUCAGCGUCCAGCGGCCAACCUGGACAUGUCGUGCCGCAGGGGACGUGGCGUGUGAGCGAGAACCAAGCCGUUGCGGCUCUUUUCCUGAGUCUGAACUUCGUGAUAAAGACAGCCGAGCGGGGGAAAUUAAAGAAACAACUACGACGAAAUGGCUCCAGGGUAAACUAUUAAGCGCCAAAGGCAACGGGCAAGAGACUGCGUGUGGAAUGAUCCCAUUUGCAUAAAUGGAAAACUAAGAAAUUUAUUUACAGUACAAGUUCCUAGAUGUGGACCUGCUGGGUCAGAGAGCAUUGUCCAGCUUUAAUUUUCAGAGAUAUUGCCAAAGUGCUCUGCAAAGAGAUCGCCCGAAACUGCCCUCUCCCAGCAGAAUACAAUUACUGUAUAAAUUGAGGGAAGACCGCACUUUGCUUUGCUUGGAACUUUAUCUGCUCCUUCACCAUUUUGGACAUCACGACGCUGAUGGCAAGGCGGCUCUUGAUAUUCGAGUGCCCAGUACAGCACAUCUCAAUCGCAUCUCGAUCGAUCGUUCAGCAUCUCAGCAGCCCCAUUCAUGGCAGUUCCACAACUCGGUCGCUCACUGGGUGACUUGGUUGCAUCUUCCGGUGUAAUCAUGCCUGAGUAUUUACACAUCGAGAGAAACACUACACAUUAGAAACUACUUUCACUUCUCGUUUACAUUAUAAUUGAGGAGUUAUAUUGAUCUAUUCUUUAAUUUGGAUUUCAUCGGUGGAGAGCCAAGGAGGUAUCAGAAAUGUUUAUUUAUAGGGGCCCCCGGGGUGGCUCAGCCGGUUAAGCGUCCGAUCGUGGUCUCACAGUUCUUGAGUUCGAGUCCUGCGUCAGGCUCUGUCCAACAGCUCAGAGCCUGGAGCCUGCUUUGGAUUCUGUGUCCCCCUCUCUCUCUGCCACUCCGCCACUCGCACUCUGUCUCUCAAAAAUAAACAGUAAAGAAAAAUUAAAAAAAAAUAAAUGUGUAUAAGUGACAUCGGAUAUGAUAGGGUCGUAGCAAUGGCUCUAAUCUUGGUAAUAUGCUUAAUUCUCUCUUUACCAACUUUAGCUAAUAUCUACUGGCUCUUUGAUGUGAAAGAUGAGAAUUUAUGUCACUUACAUUAUCCCUCCUCUCAAAGCUCUAAUUAAAAAAAAUUUUUUUAACAUUUAUUCAUUUUUGAGAGACAGAGUGUGAGUGGGGGAGGGGCAGAGAGAGAGGGAGAUGCAGAAUCCAAAGCAGGCUCCAGGCUCCAGGCUUCGAGCUGUCGGUACACAGCCUGACGCGGGACUCGAACUCAUGGACCACAAGAUCAUGACCUGAGCUGAAGUCGGAUACUUAACCGACUGAGCCACCCAGGCGUCCCAAAGCUCUAUUUUUUUUAAUGUUUAUUUAUUUUUGAGAGACAGGGAGAGAGACAGGGGAGGGGCAGAGAGAGAGGAAGACUGGAGAAUACCAAGCAGGCUCCACACUGUCCGUGCAGAGCUUAACGCCGGGUUCGAAUCCACAAACUGUGAGAUCAUGACCUGAGUUGAAAUCAAGAGCCACCCAGGUGAGCCAGCUCACCCACUGAGCCACCCAGGUGCCCUCACAAAGCUCUAUUUCUUUUCCCAUCAAACUUUGACAGUAUCUUCUGAGCCCCCACUUGAGCAGCUGGGGGCAUUAGUGGUGUUACUUUUUCGUUCAUAAUCUUUCCUGUUCCACUUUGUGUCGGCUGUGCUUUUGUUGGUGUAUUCAAAUAUGUGAAGGUUUGCUAAGAUUUUCAUUUAGUUCCGCAAAAUAGAGCCCAGUGUUUUGUUUUGUCUUGUCCAUACAGUGACAGUGAAGUUGAAGACCAGUU